rnacentral:rRNA from 1 species
GAUGAACGCUGGCGGCGUGCUUAAUACAUGCAAGUCGAACGGAAAGGCCCUGCUUUUGUGGGGUGCUCGAGUGGCGAACGCGUGAGUAACACGUGUGUAACCUGCCCUUAACUUUGGGAUAUCUUCAGGCAACUGGGGCUAAUACCGGAUAGGAGCUCCUGCUGCAUGGUGGGGGGUGGAGAGAGUCGGCGGUUGGGGAUGUUAUCGCGGCUUAUCAGCUUGUUGGUGGGGUAGUGGCUUACCAAGGCUUUGACGGGUAGCCGGCCUGAGAGGGUGACCGGCCACAUUGGGACUGAGAUACGGCCCAGACUGCUACGGGACGCAGCAGUGGGGAAUAUUGCACAAUGGGCGGAAGCCUGAUGCAGCAACGCCGCGUGCGGGAUGACGGCCUUCGGGUUGUAAACCGCUUUCGCCUGUGACGAAGCGUGAGUGACGGUAAUGGGUAAAGAAGCACCGGCUAACUACGUG